GGGGGCGACAGGCUUCGACGGGGAUCAUGAGGCCAGGGUGGCAUGCCGAGCUCCGGGAACUCGUAAAAGUCCGGAAACAACAACUGCCAACCAAGAACUGGCACUCGCUGCUUAAUUAAGCAGUGACGUCUCUCUCCUGACGCCUGCGCGGGGGAAGAGGCGACGAUAGCGGGCUGGUCCGGCGCCGGUGCUCAGCGGCGACGGGCGAGACACACUGGGCUAGC
rnacentral:tmRNA from 1 species